AUUGAACGCUGGCGGCAGGCCUAACACAUGCAAGUCGAGCGGAUGAAGGGAGCUUGCUCCUGGAUUCAGCGGCGGACGGGUGAGUAAUGCCUAGGAAUCUGCCUGGUAGUGGGGGAUAACGUCCGGAAACGGGCGCUAAUACCGCAUACGUCCUGAGGGAGAAAGUGGGGGAUCUUCGGACCUCACGCUAUCAGAUGAGCCUAGGUCGGAUUAGCUAGUUGGUGGGGUAAAGGCCUACCAAGGCGACGAUCCGUAACUGGUCUGAGAGGAUGAUCAGUCACACUGGAACUGAGACACGGUCCAGACUCCGACGGGAGGCAGCAGUGGGGAAUAUUGGACAAUGGGCGAAAGCCUGAUCCAGCCAUGCCGCGUGUGUGAAGAAGGUCUUCGGAUUGUAAAGCACUUUAAGUUGGGAGGAAGGGCAGUAAGUUAAUACCUUGCUGUUUGGACGUUACCAACAGAAUAAGCACCGGCUAACUUCGU
rnacentral:rRNA from 1 species